GUUCCCAUGAGCCCUACGCUGGCCACAGCGAUCUCCUCUUCUUCUGAGUCUUCGUUCACUUGGUCGAUCAUGGCAGUGGCGGCUGAAGCUCUACAUAGAUCUCGCUUAUAGGUUCCUCUAUCGCGCCCUCUCUAGUCUUCGCGUCACAUCUAGUUCCCUUCCUCUUCUGCUUGCGUGAUUCGCUCCCGAAUCCCCUUCACCUGUGUCCUCCCUAUCUUCGCCCCUGUUGAAGACUUUCGGAAUCCAGUUCCAUGAUGCCAGCUCCUCCCUUCUCUGCGCAUUUCUAACUCACCAGGAGAUAUUACUUAUGCUUUUUUGGUGAUUCUUGUUGAAAUUUUGGUAUGACUGACUAUAUUGUGGAAGAAUGUGCUUCAUGAAGAUAGAGAUGCUAAAGCAUAAGCUAGGAGGAAGUUGCUAGCUUAUUCUGAAUACUGUAUCUAUACUUUCUGGAUGGAAGAUUUUAGUUUUGUUGUUGGGCAGCAAUUCGCUGAUGUCAAGACUUUUAGGAAGGCAAUAAAAGAAGCUGCUAUUUCACAACAUUUUGAACUUAAGAUUAUAAAGAGUGAUCUAAUUCGCUACUUCGCCAAAUGUGCCAAGGACAGUUGUCCUUGGCGAAUUCGUGCAGUAAAGCUUCCAAAUGCUCCAACCUUCAUUGUAAGAAGCAUUGAAGGGACACAUACCUGUAAUAAAGAUGCACAACAAGGUCAUCAUCAAGCAUCUAUAGAUUGGAUUGUGAAUCUCAUCGAGGAGCGGCUGCGAAGCAAUAUGAAUUAUAGACCAAAAGAUAUAUUGCAAGAUAUUCAAAGGCAAUAUGGGAUAACUAUACCAUACAAGCAAGCAUGGAGAGCAAAAGAAAGAGGUCUGACUGCUAUAUAUGGUUCGUCUGAAGAGGGCUACAGUCUUCUCCCAGCAUAUUGCGAGCAGAUAAAGCUUAGAAACCCUGGAAGUGUUGCUCAAGUGUACACUAUUGGACUAGACCAUCAGUUCCAUAAAAUUUUUGUUUCAUUCAGUGCUUUAAUUUAUGGCUUUUUGAAUGGUUGCUUACCUAUAAUUUGUCUUGGUAGUACUGAGCUGAGAAGCAAGUAUCUCGGCACAUUACUUUCUGUUACUUCAUUUGAUCCCGAUGGUGGAGUAUUUCCAAUUGCUUUUGGUAUUGUGGAUGUGGAGACCGAGGAGAGUUGGAAUUGGUUCUUGUCUGAGUUCUAUAAGUUGCUAGAGAUAAGCUGUGAAAGCAGAUCUCAGCUUACAGUUUUGUCUAAUGGACAAACUGUUAUUCUUGAAGCUGUGAGAAGAAACUUUCCAACUGCAUGCCAGGGAAUAUGUAUGCGCUACUUUACUGAAAGUGUAAACAAGGAAUUCAAGAACUCGAGGCUUGUCCAUCUUCUUUGGAAGGCUGCUUAUUCUGUCAAUGCAUCUAGCUUUCAGGAUAGGAUGGCAGAAAUUGAGGAAAUCUGUGCAGAAGCGGCAAAAAGGAUUCAACAGAUUCCUCCUACCUACUGGGCAGUGGCUUCUUUUGAAGGAUCACGCUAUGGCCAUCUUUCUUCAAAUAUUGAAGAGUUCAAUAGGUGGAUACUUGAGACACGGGAACUUCCUAUUCUUCAAGUUAUAGAAAGUAUACAUGGCACAAUGAUCAAGGAAUUUAAUGAACGCUGUGAAAAAGGUUUGAAGUGGACUUCAAGACUUGUCCCUUCAGCUGAAAGGCGUAUAUCAGAUGCGAUUAAGCAUUCUGUUGGAUACCAAGCGCUGCGUUCCGAUGAGUUUGAAUUUGAGGUUCUCUCAGCCAAUUGCUCAAAUAUUGUUAACAUAGGCAUCCAUUGUUGUUCUUGUCAUGAGUGGCAGUUGUAUGGCAUACCAUGCUCUCAUGCUAUUGCAGCACUUCUUUCAUGUAACAAAGACAUUUAUGAAUAUACAGACAGAUAUUUCACAGUUGCCAGGUAUCGGGAGACAUAUUCUCAUCCAGUAUGUCCAAUUCCUGAUAGAAGUGAGUGGUAUAAAGCAGCUGAGAGCUCAGUGGAUAGCGAGACUCAAAUUGUUUGCCCACCAAAGGUUCGUCGUCCUCCAGGACGCCCUGAAAAGAAGCGGCUUAAUGUGGAGGAAACCAACCAUGAAAAGCAUAUAGUGCAUUGUAGUCGUUGCAACCAAACAGGACACUAUAAGCGAACAUGCAAAGCUGAUAUUACCCACAAGACAUGAGGAUAUUGGCUUAUUGGUAUGUUAUAUACCCUUGUGAAUAACCCAUCAGAUUAGUAGUUAAAGAUUAAUUUUGUUGAUGCAUGUAACAUGUGUAGAUUAGUAUUUUCAUUCUGUUGGUUCUGUGGCAAGUAGUCAAAUUUUGCAAAUAUGGGGAAAGAGAAACUUUGAGAGGUAGAUAAGUAAAAGGGGUUGUUUUUAUUUCAUAAACAAACCUCAUCUGUUUUUAGGGAUUACAUGAAAGAACAAUUUUGUCUUGAUUUUUCUACUUAAUGACCUUUGAGUGAUAGACAAUUUGAAUGAAAAUUGACUUGGUGGAUGAUAAAAAAAAAUUAUUUUGUUGUCAUGCAGAGUAAGUUUAUACAACAAUACAUUCCUUAAACUGUCUUCAUUCCAUUAAUUGUCAUGAGUUUGGUGAAGAAAUUAAAUUUGAAUGACUUGGUGAAGAUGUUAUUACUUGAUCUUAAUUUUGAUGUAGACUAGUUCAACAUUUGUUUUGUUCACAUCCUCUCCAAUGGAAUGAAACAGCAAGUCAAUGGGUCAAUGGUUCUACUUUUUUCUGUGAAAUAAUGGGUUCCUUGCAAUUUGAAUAGCAAAUUUGUUGUCAACAUAUAAGUUGUUUCUUUAAUACUUUUCAGAUUCUCAAGCAACCUCCUUAGCCAAACAGCAUGUCGCGUAAGAUAUUUGAUUGAGGCUGCUUCAGAAUUUGAAUGUGAUUCAAGAAACAACAAAAAUAUAAGUUGAUAGCGAAUCUUGAAUUCAACAUUUCAUAACAAAUAAGGACAUUGAUUUGUGCUUCCAUUUCAUUCAAGUGCAUAUCAAGAAGGUAAAAGGUUGAGUUAGUCUACAUCCAGACUGGAGAUCAAGUUGUUGUUUUCUUCACCAAGCUAAUCGGAUUUAAUCUCUUUGUCAAGAUCAAAAACUUUUUGAAUGAAGGAUGAAAGAUAAUUAAGUUUCUCAAGGUGUGUUAAAUAAACUCAAUCAUGCAUGAUGACAAAGUUGAAAUUUUCUUGUGAUCCACAGUCAGUUUUCAUUAGAAAGGUCUACUACUCCAGGGAUGAAUUUGAGAAACCAAUAAUGAAAUUGCAUCCUUUAUGUAACGAUGAAGCAACAUGUAUUUCUACUCCCUGUUACACAGAUGAGGUUUGUUUGUGAAUAUGAAAAUAAUUUCUCUAUUUCUUUUUAUCCCUCAAAACUUUUUCCUUCUCUCGCAAUCACAAGAUUUUGUUGCUUGUGCUAAAACCAACAAGUUCAGUUCUAUCAUCAUCACUCAUGAUUAAACUUUAUUCAACAUUGUCAUGUUGUUUGGAGUUCAACAGCCUACAUCAAGAUGAAUGCCUGCUUGUUGUACCUUUUGCUUGUAAUGUGCUCGUUAGCAAUCAAUUUGUCUAUGCACAGGCACAAAGAUGACUCGGCGAGUCCAAGGUGUGACUCAAGGUGACUGCUUGACAUGAGCAAACUAUGGUAAGUUCAUAUUCUAUCUUGACUUCUACCAGUGUAUGUCUCAACAGUUAGACUCUGUUCGAUCCAAGAUUUUGGUCUCCGUCAGAACAAAACAGCUGCAAGUCGAUGAGGACGAGAACAAGAAGAGGAAGCUUCUCAUGAUGCAGAUGAAAUCUCGGUGUCUCCUAGCACCUUGACUCACCUCACUGUUGACGAAACCUUGAAACACUGAAUGUCUUCCUCAUGUCGCAUGCUAAUUGACAUACAAAGACACCUAACGCACAUCCAUCCUCAACAGAAAUAGAACUUUGUGUACCGUAAUGUCGAUUGGAAGAAGGAUCACAUGGAAUCCAAAUGUGCGUCAAUGAGGAAAUCUCAUGCUCGUCAUCGUUAGCAUUGUUUCAUAGCCAUCUUGCAUCUCACCGCAACAUUAUGUUUAAUAUUGCCAACCCUAUCUAUAUCCAUACAAGUCCAUCGAAUUCCUACUAGAUUUUGAAGGGAAUGUAUCAGACGAAAUAUUCUCAAAGAUAUUGGACCGAGCACGUGAUGGAUCAAUGAAAGAUAUCUUAGCUGUAAA